rfam:Beta vulgaris subsp. vulgaris chromosome 6, whole genome shotgun sequence.
GUCUCUUUGGAGACAUCUGAUAAAAUUGGAACGAUACAGAGAAGAUUAGCAUGGCCCCUGCGCAAGGAUGACACCCACAAAUCGAGAAAUGGUCCAAUAAAAU